rnacentral:lncRNA from 1 species
CAAAGUUUCCCUCAAUUAUGCCUUAAAUUACUUAAGUUUGGCUCAUGCUAAAAUAGUGAAGUGGCAAGCAUGCAUAGAGGUUUAGGUGUCAUCUUAAGAAUAAAUGUAAGUGGCUCAUCCUUGCUAAUGACACAUGUCCUCCAUUUUAUUUUAUUUUUUUAUUUUUAGUGUGAAUCUUUCACAAAUCACCUUCAAUUAGUGAGAUUCACAUUUUGGUCCCUCACAAUAUUUUCAAUAUAUAAAAAAAGUAUUUAGUGCUAAAGAAUUAUUUUAAAAAAAAUCCUCAUGUUUACAAAUAAAUCCUUAUAAAUUUUCAAUAAAAAUGAGGGGUGUUACACUCUCCUCUUCUUAGAAGAAAAUUUAGUCCUCUAAAUUNNNNNNNNNNNNNNNNNNNNCACAAAUCACCUUCAAUUAGUGAGAUUCACAUUUUGGUCCCUCACAAUAUUUUCAAUAUAUAAAAAAAGUAUUUAGUGCUAAAGAAUUAUUUUAAAAAAAAUCCUC